AUGCAACUUAGGGACAGAACACCACCACCACCACCUAGAGGAGGCAGGUGCUGCUUGCUUCCCCUUUUGGUCCUGCUUACAAGUAUGAACCCUGCUACUAAUAUGAACCCAGCAGUUCCUGGAAGAGGGUCCCUGCUCACUUCAGGUCUUCUUAGUCAAAGUGCCUUCACAUCUCUCCGAACGUCAGCUUCCCUAAAUGAAAAAGGUUUGAGAGUGUCACUUUACCGUGCUAUCUCAAUCUGUCCUCAGCCUGUCACAGGCCCAGGCAUAGAAUGCUGGUCUAGGGGCGCUUUUCUUCUGGGAGCUGGCGGGUUCGACACACAGAGCCCUGGCCCCAAGACCCUCAGUGCCCGCGAUGAUUCUGGGUCUUGCCGUAUCGUGGACUACAACUCCCAGCAUACUCCAGCCCCGCCCUCAUCCUGCCAGGUCUCGCGUGAAGUGACGCCGCCUCGGGAGAGUUUAUCAGGGAGGCUGCCGGCGGCUGGUAUCCUGUUCUCCCUCCCAGGUUGGCGUCUGGGACCUUCUGUGUCGUUACAGGCACAGCGCCGCUCACACCAUGGCUUGGAUCCGGACUGCGCAACAACCUUUCGAGAGACGUGGGUCUUUGGAGCCUCUUUAGUCCCAGGCCGCAGGCAGCUCCGCGGCGGCGGCGGACGGAAAGAACCUCUGGGAUGGAUGGACUCUUCCUGAGCAGCUUUGCUAAUUUGCAGCAGCUGGACGAUGUUCCUCAUUAAUACCUGCCUGUAGGCAUAAUCGUCACAUCAUCUCUCUCUGGUGGCGGGGAACUCAGCUCAAAGUCUGUGUAGGAAAAGCGCCUGGAUCCCAGUCUUUCAAUGGCUUCGAGACAACCAGAAGUGCCUGCUCUUGAGCCUAGUGGGCCUCUAGGCAAGAUGUCCCUGCCCAUCGGGAUGUACCGCCGGGCAUUCAGCUAUGAUGAUGCCCUCGAGGACCCUACGCCCAUGACUCCUCCUCCAUCGGACAUGGGCAGCAUCCCUUGGAAGCCAGUGAUUCCAGAGCGCAAGUAUCAGGACCUCGCCAAGGUAUCUGACCCUGCCGAGUGCUGCUGGCAGGCCCCACCCCUUCCUUUUCCUUCCUCUGCUCCCAAAACUGCCGGUGGCUCCCGGCACCCAGCGAAUGGGGCACCCGCUCAUCUCUGUACGUGGUACUGUUCUCUGUGGGGUUGGUAGGCCUCUUUUCCUUUCUCACUCAGAACUAGAAUGGCCAUGUCUUCUCCCAUUACCCGCCCUUGCCAUUUCCACAGCAUUAAGUCCAAGCUCCGUAGUCUUGGUCUGGCUUUGCAUGAUCCUGGUCCUCUGAACACCAUGCCCCCCACAUGCCGUGAUCCAGCCUUGCCACUUACUAAGAUUUCUUGUACUUAAUAGGGUGUUUGAUGCCUCUGAGUCUUUGCUUGUCACUGCUCUGAUUGCCUGGAAUAGUCCCAGUCCCCGUCCUGUCGUUCUGUUCCAUCUGCCUGACAAAUGGCAUCUUUUGAGUCUUAGCUCGAUCUCAGUCUUUUCUGUGAUCUUUCUCUGUCCUACCAGUAAACUGUUCCCCUGCUUUUCAGGUCUCCGGUGUCCUUGACCCUGUCAGCACCCCUGCUGUGUUAGGCACCCUCCGUUAGCAUCCUGGGGGCAGGGCCGCGUCUGAUCUGCACCCCUCUGCAGCAUCUGGUGGAGGGCGUGGCAGAUGUGCUGCGCCACUCCUCGUGCGGUCCUGUCUCGGGCACCGGUCCCGUGGCGACCCCGGGGAGCUGCCUCCUCGCCGGCCCUCCUGCCGCAGGCACACGCGCCGCUCUGCGCUCGCAGCCCUCUGUGCAGCUGGGCUCACGGUUCUUACAUGCUGGCUGCAGGCAUGUCACUGGAGCCUCUGCUUCCUGACUGUCUCUCACCUCUGACUUCCCACGACCAAGGUGCCAGAAAGGUGGUCGCGCUGCCUGAAUGAGCUAGGCCUGCCCAGUUCGGUGGCUCCUCCUCACCUGCACCUGCGGUCGAGCUGCAGUGUGGUCGUAUGACAGCUCGGGUCCUGAGGGCAGGUAAAGCCCCCGUGUAAGCGGCCCUGGGGGUGAGCCCCGAACAGCCUGUGCCCCGCCGUGAGCCUGGCCUCACCCCCGAGCCAGCGUCUCGUGUGAGAGAUGACAAUACUUUUGUCACGGAGCUGCUGUGGGGAUUAAAGAAGAGACAGCGGGGAGGCUUGUCCAGUCUUCUGUGUGGAGCCAAUGCUGUGACUGCGGCUCCCAGCCCACCUCUCUCAGUAGAGCCGUGUCUGAGCCUUCCUUUCUAAUGGGGGUGCCCCGCUCACCCACGCCCGCCCCGUCAGGCUCUCAGAAUGGGGCGCCUCUUGCUGUCGCCAUGAAGGAUCCCCUGCAGCUCCAGGGCACGUUCCCCCACAUUAGCCAUCUACCAAAAUCUGACCCAGUCAGUUGUUGAGGUGGAAGCGCUCUGUGUAAAAAGUGCUGGCAGUACCAGCAGAGAAGGGCCCUGGCAGCCUGCCUGUGGCGCCGAAGCAGCAGGCUCCCAGGACUGGAGCAGGAAAUAAGGGCGGCUCCUGAUGGGGCUUGGGGCUUGGAUGGCGGCCCACCACCCUCUGCACCUGUGAAGGCUCCCGCUUGCUUCAUGAGGCAAAGAACGUGCGUCCAGUCUUCGGCUGUGCCCCAGCUGGGACAGCUGACGUUUGGAACAGCCGCUGUCCACGGGGAGCCCAGCCCGACUCUGCGUGCAUGCUUCCGCUGGUCCUAACUCUCUACGCCCUAGGCAUCCACAUCCCCACCCGCAGCUGUCCUCCCAAGUGAGGAAGCAGAGGUUUAUUUAGGUUUUACUUGAGUUAGUUAGAUCGUAGCUGAGAAGUUUAAAUCCUAUUUUGUAACAGGGAUACAACAUUUCAGUACUCCCUUCUUCUCCCCUCCUUUCUGACCAUCUUUCCUCUCAGCUCCUUUGGAGAAGCAGAGAAUAAAGAGGAAGCCCACUUCUCUGCUUCCAGUCAGAGCUGAGCACCGUGUCAGGUACUGAGCUGAGGGAAGGCAGCAUGCUCCAGCUCGCUCGCGUGAAAGAUGAGGCGCUAUGGAGACUUUCUGGUCUGUUUUAAAAGACCAUUAUUGGACCUUUAGAGCCAUGGCCCAGAAAGUGUGGUCUCAGAACCUGCAGCAUCAGCAUCACUUGGGGGUUUGUUGGAAAUAACGUUCUUGAACCCUGACUCAGACCUCCUGAAUCCCCUCUGGGUGGGGCCCAGCAGUCUGUUCAAUAAGCCCUCUGGUGGAUGCUGGCAGGAUGUCGGCAGAGUUCCAGAACUACUUAGUAGAUGCAGUGGUUCAUCAUGCAAAAGCAGGGAUGGUGCUCGGGACACAGUCAACGCUUAGUAAUAGGCGUCUGCAUCCUUAGGGCCUUGGUAAUAUAGUGUAUUGGACACAGUCUGGGACGACAGUAAAGCCUAGAGCUUCAGAUUCUGGCUCUCCCACAAGUAUAUAAAUACAGACUCUUUGUAUCAAGUCAUACGUGCUGUCUCUGUGCAUCUAACCAGGUGGGGAUGACAGCCCCCUUCACGUGUUUCCUCAUGGAUCUGAUGGCUCCCGAAGGGGGGCUGAGGCUGUGACUCCCGUGUCUGCUCACGUACCCCGUCCCCUCUUGAGCAGGUGGAGGAGGGAGAGCCCAGCGUCUCCCCGCCUGCCCCGGCCCCGCCGCCGGCCACUGACAGUGCAGAGAAGGCCCCUGUGGUGAAGGCCAAAGCGACCCAUGUCAUCAUGAGCUCUUUGAUCACAAAACAGACCCAGGAGAGCAUUCAGCGUUUUGAGCAACAGGCAGGGCUGCGAGAUGCUGGCUACACCCCCCACAAGGGCCUUACCACUGAGGAGACCAAGUAUCUUCGAGUGGCGGAAGCACUCCACAAACUAAAGCUCCAGAGUGGAGAGACAGCAAGAGAGGAGAGGCAGCCGGCGUCCACGCAGUCCACCCCGAGCAGCAGCCCCCAGGCCUCCCCUAAGCAGAAGAGCAGAGGCUGGUUCACUUCUGGUUCUGCCACAGCCUUACCUGGCCCCAGCCUUAGCACCAUGGAUUCUGGAAGCGGGGAUAAAGACAGAAGCUCGGCCGAUAAAUGGAGCCUCUUUGGACCAAGAUCCCUCCAGAAGUCUGAGUCAGGAGGCUUUGCCAUCCAAGCCUACAAAGGAGCCCAGAAACCUUCUCCAAUGGAAGUGAUGCGCGCACAAGCCACCCGAAGGGCGGAGGAGCCAGCAACGUUCAAGCCGCCCAAGAUGGAUAUCCCAGUUAUGGAAGGGACGAAACAGCUGCCACGGGCCCACAGCCUCAAACCCCGGGACUUGAAUGUUCUCACACCCACUGGCUUCUAGAGCUUUCUGUCCUGGGGACUCUGCAUCAAGGGUAUCGAGCCCAGCUCCCUUUACCUUGGCUCUGACAUAGGAAAAGUUUUGUCUUUGUGAAAUCAAACUGAGGCUAGAUGGAGACAUAAUUGGUUUUUGCGAAACAUUAGUGCAAAGCUUGUCCUUGUGUGGAAAAGCCGUUUUGUAUUGCUUUAACGUUAGACUAAACUUGAGCAGUGGUAUAUGGGGACCUCCCCAAAACUUGGACCACUGCUUACUAGGUGACUGUCUGCGUUGUUCCAAAACCAAGGCUUCAGGAUUCCUUCACCGUGUCCAGGUGCGCAUGGGGACCAUGGCGUGGGGAUGUCCGCGGACUAAUACAGGUGACUUCGGCCCUCACAGCUGUGCUGGCGCCGGUCUGGUCAGUCAGGGAACCCAAGGCCUGCUUGAGAUCUGGGUACAGCUAGGAGCCAGCCCCGGCAGGGACCCCCGGUUUGUGCUGGCACCGGCGUCUCCUCACGUCCUGGGGGACCUCGUGGGCCCCUGUGUCCCACAGCCAGCCCUUGCUGUGGUACCUCUGGGGCCUGUGCUGUGGGAGGGGUGCUUCUCUUCUGCGUGUCACAGAACAAACACUAGUCUUAACACAGCCUUUGUUGCACUGUAAAGUGACAUUAAUUUAGCUUCCAUUUGGUUGAAAACUUCCUAAAGGAGAAAAUUCAGUCUACUGGCUUGCUAUAGAUAAAUGGAUGUUAAACUUUUUAAAAGAGGUGGCAACUGCAGUUCGAAUAUAGUCUGGAGGUUCAUGUGAAACUAGUGUCACUCUAUUUUGAUUUUCUUGUUCAGGCUAGGGCUUGAAAAUGUUUUUCCUGGGAGGCAGGAGAAUUAAAAAAUUUCUGUAUGCAAUCAUUUUCCCCUCAAAUGAGCCUCCUACCUCUGUACACAUACCUCGCUGAGGAGAGGAACCGGGGAGGCCACUCUCAUUUCUCUUCACUGCACACGUGCAGCCACCGUCUUGAGCGCUGUCUCCCGUCCCUGCUGUCUUUUGCUUUGGACGGUAUUGUGUCUACACAAGGAGUCGAGCUGACCUUCCCCCAGAGACCCUGGAGUCUCAAAUGAUCAGAAUUAAUUUAUUCGUGUCUUCCGUUAUGCUUGUAUCUCUUACUUGUUUUGACAAUAAAAAUCCUUACUACUUUCUCA
ensembl:lncRNA putative monooxygenase p33MONOX